rnacentral:rRNA from 1 species
CCACGAACCGUACAAACGUUAUUCGGAAUCACUGGGCUUAAAGGGUGCGUAGGCGGCUUGGAAAGUUGGGUGUGAAAUCCCUCGGCUCAACCGAGGAAUUGCGCUCAAUACUGCCAGGCUAGAGGGAGACAGAGGUGAGCGGAACUUAGGGUGGAGCGGUGAAAUGCGUUGAUAUCCUAAGGAACACCCGUGGCGAAGGCGGCUCACUGGGUCUCUUCUGACGCUGAGGCACGAAAGCUGGGGGAGCGAACGGGAUUAGAAACCCCGGUAGUCC